CCUCUCCUCCCCUCGGGGGGUCUGGCUGGCCCCCCUGAUUGACCCCUUUGCACAUCCCCUUGUCGUGUAGAGCUUCUGGAGCAGAUGCUGGGACUCCCUGUUCACGAUGGAGGAGUGGAAGUUGGUGUUACUGGUCUUGAUGGCAACCCUGAGCCUUUGGGCCCUCUGCACGCUCGUGCUGCCCUGUGCCCCCGGCUUGUUGGCCGUAGUGUGUGUCAGCAUCCUCAUGUCCUGUUGGCCCAAGUGCAAGGACAAGGAGACCUUUGCCAGAAAGUGGAGUUGGAAAAGCUGGAGGAAGAACCCAAUAGGUGAGCAGCCCCGUCCCAGAGUCGCGCUGGCUCUGCAGCGGCUCCCAACCGAGAGAUACCAUUGCACCGAGAGCCUCCGCAAUGGCUGCCCUUGCUCAUUCUCCCUCUGCCGCCUCCUUUCCCAGGAGCCUUCGUCAUGUGGGAUGGCACCAAGAAGUCUAAGGAGAACCUGAAGGCUAAAACCCACGCUGGGGAAGCCGCCUCUGCAAGGGGACACCAGGGCAGGACAGGUCCCAUGGAUGAAGGUGGAAAUCUGAGUGCAGAGCUCCUCAGGAACCAGCCCUCCACUGCCAGAUCCCUGGUGGAGUCCCUGAACCUCACCCAAAUCUGCUUUGACCUGCUGGGUGAGCUGCAGAGUAUUCUGGAUAGCGGUGCCCCACUGCCACGGAAAGCCGUAAGGAAGG